GAAAAGUUACUCUACACUUUAAGUACAAGAAAAAAAACUGGCUCUACUGCGGGAAAGCAGCUCUUUUUCGUCACUAGUUACUGUACAAAAACAGCCUUCAGAUUCGUCAAACAGUAAAAUCCGACACAUGUGAGUCAGCAGUGCCACAGGACAACAUACGAUGGUUUCAUACAAUAGCAUGGAAACGUAUGGAAAGGGUACAAAAACCUAUGUAGAUAUUAUAAAGAGCCCCAUAUUUUGCACAUAACACUGAGCAAAAAUUAGUUGUCAUUUCCAUGAUUCCUCUUGCCUCUUUUGUGAGACUAAAUUCAACUAAACCCUUUUUUAGUGGCUGAUAAAUGUAUGUAUAGAAAAAG